UACGUAGGUGGCAAGCGUUGUCCGGAUUUAUUGGGUUUAAAGGGUGUGUAGGCGGGCUAUUAAGUCAGCGGUGAAAUCUCCGGGCUCAACCCGGAAACUGCCAUUGAUACUAUUAGUCUUGAAUAUCGUUGAGGUAGGCGGAAUAUAUCAUGUAGCGGUGAAAUGCAUAGAUAUGAUAUAGAACACCGAUUGCGAAGGCAGCUUGCUAAACGAUGAUUGACGCUGAGGCACGAAAGCGUGGGGAUCAAACAGG
rnacentral:rRNA from 1 species